rfam:chromosome III of strain GB-M1 of Encephalitozoon cuniculi (Microspora)
GCUGGAUUAGCUCAGUGGAAGAGCACUAGACUGAAGAUCUAGGUGUCCCCGGUUCGAACCCGGGAUCUAGCA